UGGGGGAUAUUGCGCAAUGGGCGAAAGCCUGACGCAGCGACGCCGCGUGGGUGAUGAAGGCCUUCGGGUCGUAAAGCCCUGUCGAGGGGAACGAAACGACUUCGACCCAACACGUCGAGGUCCUGACGGUACCCCUAAAGGAAGCACCGGCUAACUCCGUGCCAGCAGCCGCGGUAAUACGGAGGGUGCAAGCGUUGUUCGGAAUCACUGGGCGUAAAGGGCGUGUAGGCGGUCCGCUAAGUCUGAUGUGAAAGUCCGGGGCUCACCCCCGGAAGGGCAUUGGAAACUGGCGGACUCGAGUCCCGGAGAGGAGGGUGGAAUUCCUGGUGUAGCGGUGAAAUGCGUAGAUAUCAGGAGGAACACCGGUGGCGAAGGCGGCCCUCUGGACGGUGACUGACGCUGAGACGCGAAAGCGUGGGGAGCAAACAGGAUUAGAUACCCCGGUAGUCCUAGCCCUAAACGAUGAAUACUUGGUGUGGCGGGUAUCGAUCCCUGCCGUGCCGAGCUAACGCAUUAAGUAUU
rnacentral:rRNA from 1 species